GCGUUGAUGAUGUAAUGGUUAGCAUUGCUGCCUUCCAAGCAGUAGAUCUGGGUUCGAUUCCCGGUCAACGCA
rnacentral:tRNA from 1 species